AUUGAACGCUGGCGGCAUGCCUAACACAUGCAAGUCGAACGGAGGUAGGGGCAACUCUACUUCAGUGGCGGACGGGUGAGGAAUGCGUCGGAAUCUACCCUAUGGUGGGGGAUAACACAGGGAAACUUGUGCUAAUACCGCAUAAUGUCGAGAGACCAAAGCAGGGGACCGGCAAGGCCUUGCGCGAUAGGAUGAGCCGACGCCCGAUUAGCUAGUUGGUAGGGUAAAGGCCUACCAAGGCGACGAUCGGUAGCUGGUCUGAGAGGAUGAUCAGCCACACUGGGACUGAGACACGGCCCAGACUCCUACGGGAGGCAGCAGUGGGGAAUAUUGGACAAUGGGCGGCAAGCCUGAUCCAGCAAUGCCGCGUGUGUGAAGAAGGCCUGCGGGUUGUAAAGACAC
rnacentral:rRNA from 1 species